UUACGGGAGGCAGCAAGUGGGGGAAUAUUGCACAAUGGACGAAAGCUUGAUGCAGCGACGCCGCGUGAGGGAUGACGCCUUUCGGGUUGUAAACUUCUUUCACUAGGGAAGAAGCGAAAGUGACGGUACCUGCAGAAGAAGCACCGGCUAACUACGUGCCAGCAGCCGCGGUAAUACGUAGGGUGCGAGCGUUAUCCGGAAUUAUUGGGCGUAAAGAGCUCGUAGGCGGUUUGUCGCGUCUGUCGUGAAAGUCCGGGGCUUAACCCCGGAUCUGCGGUGGGUACGGGCAGACUAGAGUGCAGUAGGGGAGACUGGAAUUCCUGGUGUAGCGGUGGAAUGCGCAGAUAUCAGGAGGAACACCGAUGGCGAAGGCAGGUCUCUGGGCUGUAACUGACGCUGAGGAGCGAAAGCAUGGGGAGCGAACAGGAUUAGAUACCCUGGUAGUCCAUGCCGUAAACGUUGGGCACUAGGUGUGGGGGACAUUCCACGUUUUCCGCGCCGUAGCUAACGCAUUAAGUGCCCCGCCUGGGGAGUACGGCCGCAAGGCUAAAACUCAAAGGAAUUGACGGGGGCCCGCACAAGCGGCGGAGCAUGCGGAUUAAUUCGAUGCAACGCGAAGAACCUUACCAAGGCUUGACAUAUACCGGAUCGUUCCAGAGAUGGUUCUUCCCCUUUGGGGUCGGUAUACAGGUGGUGCAUGGCUGUCGUCAGCUC
rnacentral:rRNA from 1 species